GCAAACAUAGUUUAAACCAAACAUUAGACUGUGAUCCUAAAAAUAGAAGUUAAACUCUUCUUGCUUGCC
rnacentral:tRNA from 1 species